UGGGGGUUUAGGGGGUCUCAAGCCGAGCCCAAAACAAAGAUACAGAGAAAAAAAAUCACAACUUGGAGACUGCAGAGCUCUCAAACUAUGCAACAACUCCUCAUCUACUAUCUUGGUUCAAGAAUUCUGGGCUCCUCAGCAUUGCUUCUGAAUUUGAGAGUGAACUUUUGGAGAGAGUUUAUAAAGCCAGAAACCUUGAGCUCAUGGCUUUCACUGAUUCCCGGUUUGAUGCUAUUAGCAUUGCUUCAAAACUAUCGUAUAUGGAUUCUCGAAAUUGUGGAGCAUAUAAAUGGCCGGCCAUACUAAAUUUUGGUUUUAGUGGUGCAUAUCAAAGCGGAGGUCCUGUAUAUUUUCACUGCUUGCUGCUUGCUACUUGAAGGAAACGUACUAGGUGAUGAACUUGAUUGGCGAUGUAAAAGGAAAAGUUUCUGUGAUGGUAGAUGAUAUGAUUGACACUGCUGGAUGGUGCGCAUUACAUGGUUUAUACACCUUCUGACCCACUUCUCAGCUUGUUUACGUUUUCAUGGUGUUCUCUCUAAUUGCUAACAUUCUUCUCAUUUUUGUGUGAAUUUGUGUUAUUAAAUUGAUUUGGUUCUUGGUUCCAACUGACUAUAUCAGGCAAUGAACACACUGUGAUUAUAUUAAGGAGGUGACUGUAGCAAGCAAUGAACAACUGACUAUAUUAAGGAGCUGUAAAGUACCCGGCCACUGUAUGAUAUAGAAAACAGCCAAAGUUGACAGAGACAGAGAAGACAAAUGUACAAAUGACCCUCCUAUAUUAGUGCUGAUGCUUUUGAAGAAACUCCAGAAGAUAUUGAGACUGUGGAGCUCCUCAAACCUCAAGCUCCUUAGACUCCAAUGAGGCCAUGAGAGUAGCAAAGCUUGCAAAGCUAGACACUCUUAAGUA